GACAGAGGGUGCAAACGUUGUUCGGAUUUACUGGGCGUAAAGCGCGUGUAGGCGGCUUGGCAAGUCGGAUGUGAAAGCCCACGGCUCAACCGAGGAACUGCCUGUCAAACUGCAUGGCUUGAGACCGGGAGAGGUGAGUGGAAUUCCCAGUGUAGCGGUGAAAUGCGUAGAUAUUGGGAGGAACACCAGUGGCGAAGGCGGCUCACUGGACCGGUACUGACGCUGAUGCGCGAAAGCGUGGGGAGCAAACAGG
rnacentral:rRNA from 1 species